rnacentral:misc_RNA from 1 species
UAGCUUCUUUGCUGUUCACCGUCAUUGUUGGUUCGGCAAAAGCACAUAAGGAAAAAAAAAGGGGGAGUUCUUUGUUAUGCAAGCACCCAAUUAACCCAUUAUUUGUUUGAGUUUUUAAAAUUGAUUAUUUAGGAUGGUGAAAUUGGGCUGUUUUGGUGGACAGUGCGUAGUUGGAGAGUCUUCUUCUAGCUCUAAAGGAAGAAGCCACGGGGGUAAUAUUAAG